rnacentral:lncRNA from 1 species
ACGAAUUGCAAAUAUGGUAAGGGCUAUCGGUAUCCAAUACCCAGUCAGUUAUAUCACAAAUAGAAAAAUUGCAAGGAGUUAUCAUAUAAAUACCUUGCCCAGCAACAGCUUGCUUCUUUCUCUAUCUGUUCGGGUCUAGAGAGGUAAUAUACUGAGGACAGUUUCUCUUCCAGUGCUUCUGCUUCUUACAAAAGAAGCAUUCAAUUUGACUCUUAUCGAGCUUGAUCUUUCUGGUCUGGCCCUGCACUGAUGUCCCAGUCUGAACUUGCACCUUCUUCACUUUCUUCUUCUUGUUCUUCUUUUCUUUCUCAAAGGGUCG